GACGAACGCUGGCGGCGUGCUUAACACAUGCAAGUCGAACGGAAAGGCCCUGCUUUUGUGGGGUGCUCGAGUGGCGAACGGGUGAGUAACACGUGAGUAACCUGCCCUUGACUUUGGGAUAACUUCAGGAAACUGGGGCUAAUACCGGAUAGGAGCUCCUGCUGCAUGGUGGGGGUUGGAAAGUUUCGGCGGUUGGGGAUGGACUCGCGGCUUAUCAGCUUGUUGGUGGGGUAGUGGCUUACCAAGGCUUUGACGGGUAGCCGGCCUGAGAGGGUGACCGGCACCAUUGGGACUGAGAUACGGCACAGACUAGUACGGGAGGCAGCAGUGGGGAAUAUUGCACAAUGGGCGGAAGCCUGAUGCAGCAACGCCGCGUGCGGGAUGACGGCCUUCGGGUUGUAAACCGCUUUCGCCUGUGACGAAGCGUGAGUGACGGUAAUGGGUAAAGAAGCACCGGCUAACUACGUG
rnacentral:rRNA from 1 species